UUGAGCGAUUUACUUCGGUAAAGAGCGGCGGACGGGUGAGUAACGCGUGGGUAACCUACCCUGUACACACGGAUAACAUACCGAAAGGUAUGCUAAUACGGGAUAAUAUAUUUGAGAGGCAUCUCUUGAAUAUCAAAGGUGAGCCAGUACAGGAUGGACCCGCGUCUGAUUAGUUAGUUGGUAAGGUAACGGCUUACCAAGGCGACGAUCAGUAGCCGACCUGAGAGGGUGAUCGGCCACAUUGGAACUGAGACACGGUCCAAACUCCUACGGGAGGCAGCAGUGGGGAAUAUUGCACAAUGGGCGAAAGCCUGAUGCAGCAACGCCGCGUGAGUGAUGAAGGCCUUCGGG
rnacentral:rRNA from 1 species